rnacentral:rRNA from 1 species
CGAGCACGCGCGUGUGGCAUAUCAAUAAGCGGAGGAAAAGAAACUAACAAGGAUUCCCUUAGUAACGGCGAGUGAAGCGGGAAGAGCUCAAAUUUGAAAUCUUCAAGGUUCUACCUUGACGAAUUGUAGUUUAUAGAAGUGUUUUCUGUUAGUGGAGUGGCAAAAGUUCUUUGGAAUAGGACAUCAUAGAGGGUGAGAAUCCCGUAUUUGGUCAUUCCUUCUAGCUCUGUGAUACACUUUCAAAGAGUCGGAUUGUUUGGUAAUGCAGUCCAAAAUGGGUGGUAAAUUUCAUCUAAAGCUAAAUAUUGGCGAGAGACCGAUAGCGAACAAGUACCGUGAGGGAAAGAUGAAAAGAACUUUGAAAAGGAGAGUUAAACAGUACGUGAAAUUGUCAAAAGGGAAGCGUUUGACACCAGUGUUGUUUUUCCGAAAAUCAAUUACGAAUGUUUUGUUUUUGAGGAGUUAUGACUUCAUCGGCUUGCUCCUUUCUUUACGAAACUUUCUUAAUGCACUUUUCGGUUAACAAGUCAACAUCAAUUUCUUUUGUUGUAAAAGGGUAUGAGGAAGGUGGCUUUCUUUUCGGAGAAAGUGUUUAUAGCCUUGUGCCUCUGCAAUCGGAGAGAUUGAGGUCUGCAGCGUAGAUCCUUCGGGGUUAGAUACAUUUGUGCUAAGUUAUAGCUUUUCAUAGACAACUUGUUGACUAUGUUUAGUCUUGUAGCUUACUCGCUUAUGCUAUUUUACCUACGCUUAGGAUGUUGAGCGCAUGUCUCUCUCU